AUUGAACGCUGGCGGCAGGCCUAACACAUGCACGUCGAGCGAGCGGCGGACGGGUGAGUAAUGUAUGGGGACUGACCGAUAGCGGUGGACAACUACUGGAAACGGUAGCUAAUACCGCAUACGAUCGGAUAACCCAUCUGGGAUUAGCUAGUAGGUGAGGUAAUGGCUCACCUGGGCGACGAUCCCUAGCUGGUCUGAGAGGAUGAUCAGCCACACUGGGACGUAAACACGUCCCAGACUCCUACGGUGACGGCAGUGGGGAAUAUUGCACAAUGGGCGCAAGCCUGGUGCAGUCAUGCCGCGUGGAUGAAGAAGGCCCGAGGGUUGUAAAGUACGUUCAGUCAGGAGGCGUUACUGACAGAAGAAGCACCGGCGAACUCCGUGCCAGCAGCCGGGGUAAAAC
rnacentral:rRNA from 1 species